UGAUUGAGAUUUUAACACGAAGUGAGUGGCGAACGGGUGAGUAACACGUGGGUAACCUGCCCAGAAGUAGGGGAUAACACCUGGAAACAGAUGCUAAUACCGUAUAACAGAGAAAACCGCAUGGUUUUCUUUUAAAAGAUGGCUCUGCUAUCACUUCUGGAUGGACCCGCGGCGUAUUAGCUAGUUGGUGAGGUAAAGGCUCACCAAGGCAGUGAUACGUAGCCGACCUGAGAGGGUAAUCGGCCACAUUGGGACUGAGACACGGCCCAGACUCCUACGGGAGGCAGCAGUAGGGAAUCUUCCACAAUGGACGCAAGUCUGAUGGAGCAACGCCGCGUGAGUGAAGAAGGGUUUCGGCUCGUAAAGCUCUGUUGUUAAAGAAGAACGUGGGUAAGAGUAACUGUUUACCCAGUGACGGUAUUUAACCAGAAAGCCACGGCUAACUACGUGCCAGCAGCCGCGGUAAUACGUAGGUGGCAAGCGUUAUCCGGAUUUAUUGGGCGUAAAGCGAGCGC
rnacentral:rRNA from 1 species